rnacentral:rRNA from 1 species
CAAGUCCUACGGGAGGCAGCAGGGAAUUUUGCGCAAUGGGGGAAACCCUGACGCAGCAACACCGCGUGGAUGUUAAGCCCUUCGGGGUGUAAAGUUCUGUCCAUAGGGACGAAUUUUGACUGUACUUAUAAAGGAAGCACCGGCUAACUCCGUGCCAGCAGCCGCGGUAAUACGGGGGGUGCAAGCGUUGUCCGGAAUCAUUGGGCGUAAAGCGUUCGUAGGCGGUAUGUCAAGUCUGAUGUUAAAGCCCGGGGCUCAACUCCGGUUCGGCAUUGGAUACUGGCAAACUAGAAUGUGGUAGAGGU